rnacentral:rRNA from 1 species
CCUACGGGAGGCUGCAGUGGGGAAUAUUGCACAAUGGGGGAAACCCUGAUGCAGCGACGCCGCGUGAGUGAGGAAGUAUUUCGGUAUGUAAAGCUCUAUCAGCAGGGAAGAAAAUGACGGUACCUGACUAAGAAGCCACGGCUAACUACGUGCCAGCAGCCGCGGUAAUACGUAGGGGGCAAGCGUUAUCCGGAUUUACUGGGUGUAAAGGGAGCGUAGACGGUUAAUCAAGUCAGAAGUGAAAGCCCGGGGCUCAACCCCGGGACUGCUUUGGAAACUGCCUGACUGGAGUGCUGGAGAGGCAAGCGGAAUUCCUAGUGUAGCGGUGAAAUGCGUAGAUAUUAGGAAGAACACCAGUGGCGAAGGCGGCUUGCUGGACAGUAACUGACGUUGAGGCUCGAAAGCGUGGGGAGCAAACAGGAUUAGAUACCCGAGUAGUC